rnacentral:rRNA from 1 species
GAUGAACGCUAGCGGCAGGCUUAAUACAUGCAAGUCGAGGGGUAACAUGGGUAGCAAUACCUGAUGACGACCGGCAAACGGGUGCGGAACACGUACGCAACCUCCCCAAAACUGGUGAAUAGCCCUCCGAAAGGAGGAUUAAUACACCGUAAGAUGAUAGAGUGGCAUCAACUUUAUUAUUAUAGCUCAGGCGGUUUUGGAUGGGCGUGCGCCUGAUUAGGUAGUUGGUCGAGGGUAACGGCCCACCAAGCCUGCGAUCAGUAACUGGUGUGAGAGCACGACCAGUCACACGGGCACUGAGACACGGGCCCGACUCCUACGGGAGGCAGCAGUAAGGAAUAUUGGUCAAUGGACGAAAGUCUGAACCAGCCAUGCCGCGUGAAGGAUGAAGGCCCUCU